CCCUUCAGAGGGGGACAACAGUUGGAAACGACUGCUAAUACCGCAUACGAUCUAACCUCGGCAUCGAGGAAAGAUGAAAGGUGGCCUCUACAUGUAAGCUAUCACUGAAGGAGGGGAUUGCGUCUGAUUAGCUAGUUGGAGGGGUAACGGCCCACCAAGGCGAUGAUCAGUAGCCGGUCUGAGAGGAUGAACGGCCACAUUGGGACUGAGACACGGCCCAG
rnacentral:rRNA from 1 species